rnacentral:snRNA from 1 species
AACCGGGAAGAGCCCAGCU